CCGCCACUGUACUCCAGCCUGGGCAACAGAAGGAGAGUCCGUCACAAACAAACAAAAAAAGAAACUUAAAAUAUAACAAUAGAGACAUCACAGAGGCCCACAGAACCACCUCCAAGAAAGCAUUCUAGUCACCUGCAGGGAAGCAUAUAUAUAUAUAUACAUAUUGUGAUAUGUUUACACAUAUAUGUGUAUAUUUACACAUAUAUUUAGGACAUUUGCUUAUGCCAGUCAUCUCAAAACAUGGCAGUUUAUGCUGAACUCAAUCCAUGGGGAAAGCAUUUGAUGGGGCACAUAGGAAAGAGAGGUUAGCUCUAUUAGCUCUGUUGAAGGAUAAUUAAGGAAGAAUUCAUAGGAAAGGUGCAGUCAUUCAUUGAAUAUUUGCUUGGCACUUACUAGGUGCGUAUGUGUACUAGGAUCUAAGGAUGGGCUGAUAAAGAACCCAGAUCCCUUUUAUUCUACUGAACAUGCAAGCUGGCAUUUAAAAAAGGUAAUUGGAAAUGGAUAAGGAAACUGAGUCAGUUCUUAUCACUCAGUUUAUUUGCUUUUGUUUGUAUUUUCAUUUUGACACAGUGCAAUGUCAUCCUGACACAUCCUCCAAAAGUGAAGGAUGGGGUUGAUAACACUUUAGUUGGCAUUUCUUUAGUCAGGAGCCAGGAGCGCUCUCCCGUAAUUGCAUUAACCUGGGAGGCACCCUCUAGGUAGAUUUGUAUAGCGCCCUGGCCAAUCAAUUAUCAGUUUACUUCUUGUCUCACUAAGCUUUAACACCUUACAGUUGUGAAGCAGUAUAAAUAUAACUUUAGUAUCUUGAUCACAGCAAGCACCUGAUUUGAAUUUCUUUAUUAGCUCAAGUGAAAUCAGAUCAGAGAAGUACAUUACAGGUCAUAAAAUAUGUGCAAAUUUCAAAAUGACCUCCUUUUUAAAAUGUGCAAAAAUAAGACUGUUAAGGCACAUUCCAGAGCCUUGGUGCGCCCGCGCGUGUGUGUGUGUGUGUGUGUGUGUGUGUGUGUGUGUGUGUGUUGAGAAUAACUGUAUAUCAGAAAAUUUGGCUGAGAAGCAAUCUUCUUUUUAGUGGUUCUUUUUUCUCUUUUGAAAAUAAAGGACUAUAAAUACUCAAGAUGCAGAACAGCAACCUGUCCCCAAUGAGGCUCUCGUUUAAUUAAUGUGGUGAACUACGUAGAGAAAAGGGACAAUUGCAAGUGUCCCUCAAUAAUUAUCUAACCACACGCUUUAGGUAAUUACAGCAGAAAGAUUUUUAAGACACAAGACACCCUGGAAAAUUUGACCUCUUAUUUUGAUUCAGGCAUUUCAUUUCUUAAAUCUUUUUUUCAUGUCGAUGUUUAUGCUUGACAAAGUCAGCCUAAUGCCAGAUGAAUCCCUGGAACUCAAAACAUUACUGAAUUCACAGUUGAAGGAUUUUAUUAUAAUAUACCAGCUUUUAAAAAUCCUACCAUGAGAAUAACAGGACUGAAUAAAA